UUGUUACCUAGCAUUUCAGACUGGGAGAACCCGCUGGCCAAAGCGGGUGGGUGGAAAGCAUGCAGCUUUCUGCGUCUGGGGUUGGAACCCAGACUGGCGUCUUCAGAGUCUACAUCCAAGGCUGUCCCUCUGGAGGAUUUCUGGAAAACCGCUCAAACUUCUGUGGAAGGAUGGAAAGUCUUCCGAGGGUCACUGGCAGCCCUUCCACAGGCGUCUUUGCGUCAACGCUGGAGCCCCUCCCCCGGACGCGCGGGCAGCGGGGCGGAGCCUGGGCGGGGCCUUCGGCAGGGACCUCGGCGAAGGGAGCGCGCGAGUGUUGGACUGAGAGUCUUCAGAUGGAUUUUAAAAUUGAACACACUUGGGAUGAGUUUCCAGUGAAGCAUGAGCCAGUGUUUGUCAGGGUGAAUCCGGGUGAUGGAGGAGUGAUGAUGGAAAUUAGUGCUCCAUUUUUCAAUGAUCCUCCAGCCCCACUAGGAGAACCAGGAAAGCCUUUCAAUGAACUGUGGGAUUAUGAAGUUGUGGAAGCAUUUUUCUUGAACGACAUAACUGAACAGUAUUUAGAAGUUGAACUUUGUCCCCACGGACAGCAUUUGGUGCUUUUACUCUCUGGUAGAAGAAAUGUAUGGAAACAAGAACUUGAUCUAUCAUUCAAAGUGUCCAGAGGAGAGACAAAAUGGGAAGGUAAAGCUUAUCUUCCUUGGAGUUAUUUUCCACCAAAUGUGACAAAAUUCAAUUCAUUUGCAAUUCAUGGAUCAAAAGACAAAAGAAACUAUGAAGCUCUUUACCCUGUACCUCAGCAUGAACUGCAGCAAGGACAAAAACCUGAUUUGAACCAUUCAGGACCUUUAUAUUUAAUUUUGACAACAACCUCAGAGAGAAUUAUGUAUCUUGGAAUGCUUAUUUUUAAAGUUAAGGAAACUGAGGCCUUCAGAGAUUAAAUGUCUUGCCCAAGAUCAUACAGCUAAAAGGUGGAUUUGAACCUAGGAAGUUUGAUUCUGGAGACCAGGCACUCGUCAACUAUGCUGCAGCCUCUGAGUCAAAUUUUCAAAAGUAACCAAGAAAGAGAACAACUGCCAGCUGGAAGAGGAGAGUUGGAAUAUAGAAUUACCACCACAUGGGACAGUUUACCAGUGCUGCAAAAGCCUAUGACUCCCAAGUUUAGAUCUGGGGUCCAAGGCUUACUGAUGGACCUGAAUGCUCCUUUCUUUGAUGAUCCCCCAGCACCACAUUGUGAAGCAGGACAACCUUUUGAUGGACUCUGAAAGUAUGAAGGCACAGACAGCACCUGGUCUUACUGCUCUCCAGUGGUGAUGCAUUUGCAGUGUGGCUAAUGGCUACCAUAUUGGACAGUGAAGUUCUAGAGAAAGUAUCACAUAAAGAAAGAGCUCAGUUUACAAUUUAAAGUCAACAUUACCUGCAAGCAAUGGAAUGGGAUUACAUUUCUUCCUUGGGAAUAUUUUCCACCUGGUAUUGAUAAAAUGAAUUUAUAUGCAAUUCAUAUAUGGAAGAAUUUAUGAAGCCCUUUAUUCAACACCACAUGAAGAGAUUGAGGAUGGACAAGGGCCUAACUUGUAAGUAUGCAAAUAAUUUGAUUAUGUAUUUACUUUCAACUUUUACCUACAAUGAGUUGUGAGAGGGGGCAGAUAAGAGCUUUGACAACAACUCCUUAAGUUUUUUUUAAUAUCAGAAAGAUCUUCAUUGUAUUUCUGGUAAUAAGAAUAAGUAGCCUAUUCACAAAUAAGUGAUAUAUUAACCAAAUUUAUUUUAAAACAUUUUCUGAUUUAUAUUGUAUGAGCUAAUUGGAACUGAAAAUACCAGGGAACAAUUGUAAAUUAUUUGAGCUUUCUAAAAUGUAGAAUUAAAUCUACCAAGUAACCUGUUUUGUAUAUUUACAUUAUUUUCUCAGCCCUACAUAACUCCAACACAAAGUCCAAAUAUGGUUUACUUUUUGCAAGUAUUCCCUAUGUAUUAUAUUUUAUAAAUAUUUGAGAUUUUUGGUUUGAUACCCACUCAUUUCAGAUGCUGCAUAUUUUGAGGGAAGAGAUACUUUAAGCAUUCAUCAUUUUUUCACAGUACCUAAAAUUUAAAAACUACACAUACAUAUAAAAUUAUAAAUAUCUAAGCAUGUGUACUAUAUGUACAGUUUUUGAUAUUCUUUAUAUAUAGCACAGAUGAAUCAUUUUCAACAUUUUUGUUUGACCUAUUUUUCUAUACUUUAACAACUCUGUCAUUUCGAUCAACUCCCAUCUAAUUGAAAAUGAAUCUACAUAACUGUCAACUUGAAUCAACUUCCUUCAGGCUGUACUAAGCAUGGUACAGGACUAUAUGAUUUCUGUAAAAAAGCUUAUGUACUUUGAAAAUCCAUAGGUAAAUCUCAUUUUAUAGGAGAGUUAUAUGAAUGAAAGUAUUUAAUUAGCAUACAGUACUUCUGUGUGACUUGAGUGACUGUUUGUAGUAGUCAGGGACUCACAGAAACCACCAGUAAGACACGAGAGGAUACCUUUAUUAUUGCAUGAUGAACCUUAGAUUCAGACUAUCUGGAUAUGUCUUAUAAUGUGAACUCAACAAACUGCUCAUAUAAACUUUUUUAGGUGAGAUUUGAAUUAAGAAAAAAAUGUAUGUGUAUAUAUAAUUAUUAGCAUAGAAAGAAUGAUUUCUCAUUUCUCAAUGAAUAUUGUGGCAAGGUCUGCAUAUGUAUGCAUAAGAAAAAUAUAUGUGUAUAAAAAGAUUUGAUAUAUAUUAUAUCAUUUAAAAAUAAUAUAGCAGAUUAAUGAACAAUUUUUAAAGUAAUUAAAUAACAUAUAUGUAUUUCUUUUUAAUUUUCUUUGUAUUUAAUGAACAAAUAAAGUGUGGCUGUGUACUGAAUGCUUAAAAUUUGAAUUUUUUUUUCUAUGUGACCUGAAGCCAUCGCUUUGAGUAUUUUAAACCUUUCAACCUGAAGUGGAUUAUCGGAGACGACUGGGAGCAGCCAGACUCAGAGCUGUGGAAAGAGCUUUGCUGCGAUCCUUUACAUUCUGACAACACAGGUUAUAACUCAUAAGGAAAGGCACUCCAUAUACUGCCACCUUUUGGCCUCAGUUGGACAGCUGAAGUAAAAUCAUUGUCUGCUACCACUGUAAAUGUUCCAACAACAUGCCAGAAAUAAAUCAUUUAAUUGAA